CACAGUAUCUUUGCAGAUGAAUUUUACUUCUGUUUUCUGUUUGCAACCUGCAUGCUUUGAAAAGGAAAUCAGACGGGUUUCAUUCAUUGCAGGAACGGGCAAUGUAUCCAGAGGAAAUUGAAUUUGGACAUGUCUAAACAUAUGAACAAAACCCCAGGUUUGUCCUGCGAUGACAGACUGGAGGUAAUCAAUCUAUCUUCUCAGAUUCACCCCCCCUCCAACUCCUCUCCAAAUCCACCAAGAACAUCAUAAACGUUAUAAAUCAUCAUUUGCAAAAUGAAAGAGCUGGCACCAUCUAAAAGUUGAACUCCCACAUCAUUUCAUGCCUUUCCAGCAGAGACGCAAGACCAAAUGAUGACUCAAGCUGUGAGUAAACGUACAAACAUCAAAAUUCCUGGCAAAUUGAGGCAAGAAAAUUCACAGCCCUGCACUCCAUCUUCUCCAAGAAAUGUCUUGCCAAGUACAGAUGGCCAAGGCAGAAAUUGACACUGUUGUCCAAGUUCAAAGUUGAUUUUUUUGUAACCUCUUCAUGUUUGUUAAUGUCACCAUCUGCAGGUUCCACAUUCAGAGUAUUCUGUCUUAGAGCCAGAAUUUGGUGUUAGGUCAGGGUGACUACUCACAAAUUUGUUUCACAUUAAUGAAUAUUAUUUAAAUUGAUUGAUAUUUAAUUGAAUGUUCACAUCGAUCUGUGGGUCUCAUUAACCUAUCAUUCAGCUCUGCAACUGAAAAAUUAACAUUGGAUGUUAUUCUGGUGUG